rnacentral:lncRNA from 1 species
GACAGCAUAUGUCCGUAGGUAGCGUGUGUACUUCUCGUGAUCAUAGAAUGAGGGUCCUAUAAGUUAACCCUCUGGAAGUCCCUUAGGGUCGCCCUCUGCUUCUCGCAUGACUUGGGCUCUGAUGGGGUUUUGUAAGUUAGCCCCACCUCUAAGUCACCGAUGACUCAUCAUCAAUCAGUGAGGGUCCUUAUGGUUAGCCCUCAUUUGUUAGACGUAGUUCCCGUUAAAGAAAUUCUUCCCAGCAAAAGAAGUUUCGAUCAUUCAUCAUGCUUAAGCA